AAUGACUAAACUGACAGAGGACUAUUUUUUUCAGUAUUUGGGAGCAAAUAAUACAGGUAAGAAUUACGUAUUAGAUGAGACUUGAGACACUAUGUGAGCUAUGAUAGCUAUGGAAAUGCUCUGGAGUGUGUGAUUUCAUGAUUAUAACAAAAAUUUGAUUGUUUUACUUGCAACUUAAAUAGACCAAUGAUGAAAAGUAUGCAUAAAUGAACAAGCAUAGGGCUGGACUUGAUCUGUGCUGUAGUUUGCUGACCCCCUAAUUGAGAACAUUUAUCAUACUUAUCGCUAAAUUCAGGCUGUCUUCUUAGCACAAUCUGCCAACAACUGGAGCCUACGAACAGUUUACCCUACUUGUGGGUUCACACUCUUUAAGGAACAGGAAUAUAAAGCCCCUGAGGCAUUGGUGUGCAGUGAGGGCCCCGCUCCCCAGUGCAGUCCAUACUCUGCGGA
rnacentral:lncRNA from 1 species